CCAUUAUUUUGGAUAAAUUCCCAGAGGUAAGAUUGCUUUUCAAAUGGUAGUUCUAUUUUUAGUUUUUGAGGAACCUCCAUACUGUUUUCUCUAGUGGCUGCACCAGUUUGCAUUAUUACCCGCAUGGUGCAAAGGUUUCAAUUUCUCCACAUCCUCACCAGCACUUGUCUUUUGGUCUUUUUGAUAAUAGCCCUCCUGAUAGGCAUGCGAUUAUAUCUCAUUGUGGUUUUGAUUUGCAUUUUCUGGAAAUGAGGCACUACUAAUUAGCAGGCAUAAAGGUUCACUUACACAAGACAAAUAACUUCUAGAGAUCAUCUGGACAACAGUGUACCUAUAGUCAACAGUACUGCAUUUUACACUUAAAACUCUGUGGAGGGUAGAUCUUGUGUGAAAUGUUCAUACCACCAGUAAAAAGAAAAGUGUAUGAGGAGAUCUAAGUCAUUUUGUAAUUACUUCUAUAGAUCAUGUGUCUUAAGUGGUUCCAUGAAAGUGUUCUUGGCCUGAACCAUGUGCAUCACAGCUUUUAUAAAUGAUGCAUCCAGUCUAUAGGAAGAGAUGAGACAACAUGGACUUAAAGACAUAUGUGAGCCUUGUUUUAGCCACCCGGAAGGACCAGCAGCGGGCAGUGUGGAGAUGAGAACUGAGAUUUGCUGUAUGGAAAUCACAAAAUUAAGAGAAACAGAUGUGACUCCAAGGCCAAGGGUCCUACAAUUGGAAAGAACACCAAUACCACACUAUGAAAUCAGGCUUUGAGGCCCACAGAAGGCUCAGCCAUUGUGCUGCCAUGCUGACCCUCCCUUCUGAAGGUGAAGAUCUGAUUGUAUUCUACUGCUUACAUAAACUGCCUCUCUAAGGGAUUGUCACUGUCAGUACACGCUGUGAUACCUUGUGAAGAUGAGAUUUGAUUUCUUCUCAACAAAUAGUCUUUCUUCCUCUCUUCACUGCCAGAUAUGCUGAGAAUUACACUGCUUAGACUUUCUUCCCUUAGACCAGGAUUUCUCAGCCUCAUCAACUUUAUCACCAUUAACAUGUGCACUCAAAUAAUUCUUCUUUUUAUUUGUGGAGGGGGUCUGCCUUGUGAAUUGUAGGAUAUUUAACAGGCUCCCUGGACUCUACUCAGUAGUCCCAAAAAUUCCCAUGCAUCACCCCCCAUUUAUGGAUUGUGAAAGUCAAAACUGUCUAGCUUAGUUCAAUUAAGAAUUCCUGUUAAGAUUCUAGGAUGCCCAUUAAGUUGGCUCAUCAGUCAAUUACCCCUUUUUGUGCGUGAGUUUCAGAUUCCUUCUUGAGAAUAUGUAUUAAUGGAAUGGUGAUUGGAGGGAAAGAAAUAAGGAAAAACUCAUGAAUGUGAAGAUGAGGUUUCAGGCAUGAAGACAUUGACUGCUAAGACUUGGAGCGACAAACACUAAUUUUCUCUUUCUUACAUUUUGCCUCUCUUCUUUACAUUCUAACAUUUCCUGUUGAUUCACAUAUAUGUGUCUGUUACCAAAUUAGCAAAAAUAAUACAUUUUUUAAAUGUUUAUUUAUUUAUUUUUGAGAGAGAACAAGAGUGAGCAAGCAGGGGAGGGGCAGAGAGACAGGAAGAGAGAAAAUCCCAAGCAAGCUUCAUGCUGACAGUGCGAAGGCUGACACGGGACUUGAUCUGAUGAAGUGUAAGAUCAUGUCCUAAGCCAAGAUCAAGAGUUGGACACUCAACUGACUGAGCCUAAUUUAGCUGCCCCUAAUUUAGCAAAAAGAGUAUUAAGAAGCACUCCUUUAUGCUCUUUAGGGGUGAAUAUCAAAAUAAACCACAGUUCUGGACAUGAAGCUCACAGUUUUGUGACACUUUUGCAGCCCAGAUCUUUGCUUGCUGAUGUGGCCUUGCUUCAUCCUGCACCAGACUGACACCAAGAAACAAAAAGCAUCUCUUCAAGAAUCUUUAAGUACUCAAUUCUCAGGAGCUCACAAUUUAGGUGAAAGGCUAACAACACUCAGCCUAAAAGUGAACUGUCAGCGAUUUCUUUUCCUUAAAAGAUGGGGUAGUCAACUAAUGAACCUGUGUUAAGGACUUAAUUGCAAGGUGCUAAUAGAUUUGGAAAGCACAGUUUUCCAUUUGUUUAAUUUAAAAAUGGAGGUUAAGUACUGAUUUCUUUGUGCUACCUCAGGCUGUAAACACCAUGCUCAUUCAUGUAUGUGAAACAACAAAAUUCACUGGGUCUCAGACAAUCAAGGGUCAGUAGCCUGCUCUCGAGGGUUCGGUCUCCCUGGGGCAAUUUCCUUCACCCUUUAAGCCCUUCAAUCAUUUGUGUCCACCCAAGAGUAGGAUAAGUGGUUGGCCCCUCUUUCACUGCCAGUUAUUUUUCAGGGCAGACUUUUUCACAUUUCACUGGUUCUGUGGGAGAAAAAUGCCAUGUUGACCAUAGAGAUAGCAUUCUUUGUCCAUAUCGCAUUUCAUUAAUGUGUCCAUUCACAACUGGAGAAUUUCCCCAGGUGCUUAGGAAAAGGGUAGGUGAAUUGUUAUUACAGUAUUUUCCCUUAGAUAAGAGAGUUACUUGUCAUGAAUAUUCUAAGAAGCUCUAACAAAUAAAAGAACUCCUAUGCAUUUAGAAGGCACAUAUCGUGCCUUAUGUGCCCUAUUCUUCAUAUUCUUUCUAUUUAUCCUCAAUUUCUCUUAUACAUUUUCACAUGUUCUCUUUGGUGUAGAGUCAUGAGGUUUGUUUACCAGGCAUUAUCUCCCGUUUAGAGAAGAGAAAACUGGAGCACAGAAGGGUUAAGUGAUUUGCCCUGCUUUAGUGAAGCAUGCUUCCUAUUUAUCCCCAAAAUGAUGACUGGGAGGAUUGUGUUAUUUUUCUAGGGAUGCCCUAACAGUUCCACUAACUGGGGGCCUUAAAAAAUAGAAAUCUAUUGCCUUACAGUUCUGGUGGCUAAAGACUGAAAUCAAGGUGUCGGUAGGGUUGGCUCCAUCUGAGGGCUGUGAGGGAGAGCCUGUUCCAGAUCUCCGUCUUUGACAUGGAGACGGCCCUCAUGUUCACAUGACAUUCUUUGUUAUGUAAGUCCGUCUCCAUAUCUUCUGUUUUGCAAGAACAUCAGUCACACGGGAUUAUAGCCACCCUAAGACAUCAUUUUAACAUUACCUCAGCAAAGGUUCUAUCUCUAGAAUAAGGUCACAUCUGGAGGUACUAAGGAUUAAGACUUCCACACAGGCAUUUUGUGGGAAACGAUUCAACCCAUAACAGGGAAAUUCACGUAAACGGUUCUGAAUAAACCUUUCCUCACCUGCCCUGGAAUAAAGAAGUUUCCCUCCACUAUUAUGAGCUAUGUGUCCCUCCCAGAUGUAGCCCUUGACCCUGGCUUCAGCCUAAUCUCUUGCCACGGCACAGCAGGAAAUCUAACUCUCCUGAACUACUCAGUAAAAAUAACUCAUAUUUAUCAAGCACUUAAGACUCUGUGUUAAGUGCCUCAUAUAUGUGUAUGAUGUAAAUAUGUUAUACUGAUCCUCAGUACCACCAUAUUAUAGAUUUAUUUCUUUAUUCAUUCAUUCAUUCAUUCAAGCAUUCAUUCAUUCAGGUAUGUUUUUGAGCUCUGUUACAUUGAAGCUUUCUUUGUUCAAGAUUCAGGGGGUAUAGCUGCCAAUAAAAUGAAAAACUCCCUAGCCUCACAAACUUACAUUAGUAAGGGAAACAGAUAAUAAUAAAUUAAAACAUCAUAUAAUACGGAUGACCCUUGAACAACAUGGGUUUGUUUGAACUGUGAUGGUCCACUUAGAAAUGGAUUUUUUUAAAUACAGUACAGUAGUGUAAAUGUAUUUUCUCUUCCUUAUGAUUUUCUUAAUAACAUUUUCAUGUCUCUUUUCUAGUUUAUUGUAAGAAUAUAAUAUAUAAUACAAAUAAUAGACAAAAUAUGUGUUAAUUGACUUUAUAUUAUUGGUAAGGCUUCUAGUUAACAGUAGGCUAUUAGUAGUUAGUUUGGGGGGUAGCCAAAAGUUUUAGGUGGAUUUUUGACUGUGUGGGAGAUUGAUGCCCCUAACAUCCCUGUUGUUCAAGGGUCAACUAUGUAUUAAACAAUAUGGACUGCAGUAGAGAAAGUUUGGACAUGGAUGAAAGUGCUUCAGGAACAAAAUGGAAUUUUUAAAAAUUAUAUAACAAUUUUAUAUUUAUGAAAAGGUUAAAAGAAUACUCUGUGUCCAGAUUCUGCAAAUGUUAUUCUGAAAUAAUUCAAAUGUAUAAAGAAGUUGCAAGAUGGAUACAAACAUGUCAUGCAUCCCCCAUUCACUAUUAUUCAUUUCCCAACAUUUGUUCACAGUUUCUCCCUUCUCUCUCUUUCUCUCUCUUUCUUUUUCUCUUCAUCUGUCUGUCUUUCUGCACUUCCAUAUUUCACACACAUGAUACGAUAACAUCCUUCUUGCUGGAUUAUACUACUGAUAACCCUUAUAUAACAUACAUUUAUUUCUUCGACAAAUUAGUCUUGAGAGUUUUUACUAGGUUAAUAUUAAUCUUUUCUCAACAAGAACUUGGCUAUGUUUGUACCUUACACAUCAACAUAAAAGUUCAACUAAUUUUCAAAUUAUUGAGCACUGAACUCGGCUAUUACAAAUUAGAUGCUAAUUAAUGCUCCUUUACUUGCUCAUUUAUUUGUAAUAUUUUCCCCCCUGUCAGGGCCCAGAAAAAUGUGAAAAUUCCAUUAAUUAUUUUUACUAACUCAUUGAUGGAUUGUAGAACAAAGUAGUAAUUUUGAAAAUUAUAGUUAUCCAACACCUACAUUUUUAGAAAGAUGCAACAUUCUGAAGGAUAUUAACUAGAUAGCAAUUAAAAAUUUCAAGAAGAAUGCUUCACAGCAAGAUCUGUGAUAAUUUUAAUAAAUUUCUGAAAUGAGAUAAACAGUUUCUCUCAAGGACACCUCUAACCUUGAGAUUCCAUGAAAUUACAACUGGUGAAAUGGUGGGAAGGAAUAUAUCAUUCAAUAUGUUUUGAUAUAAUGAUUAGAAGAUAUCUAAAAAUGUUUGAACACAUUUAGGGAAGUUAAAACUUAUCAAAUAUAUAAUACUUGUAUUUCAUAGUUUUGACAACCAUGAUCCAAGGUUAUUUUAUUCCCAUUUUGUAGAUGAGACAGCUGAGGACUGGAGUUACUCAAAAUUUAUACUCCUCUCAUGGGAGCAUUCCAGGUGAGAGACACAUGUGAAAAUGGGAAGCUAAAGGAAUGUGGGCAGCUGGAAGAACUAAAGGAAAGCCAACGUGCCUGGACUAUAAGUGUCAUGGGAGAGUGGUCUGAGCUGAGGCCAGGGAGAUAGGAAGGAUGGCACAUGCAGUGUUAUUUGGGAAAUGACAAGCACCUAGGACUUCAGCCACCAUGUUUCAAGAUCAUUCUUGUCACAGUGUGAAGAAUGGCUUGGAGGGGAUAAGUGGGAGACAAGAUGCAAAACAAUUGCAGAAGUCCAGGGAGGAUGAUGGUGAUGAUGUUGAUGAUCAUGAUGAUGGUUAUGCUGCAGCUAAUGGUGAUGAUGAUGAUGGUGAUGACGAUGAUGAUGAUGAUGGUGAUAAUGAUGGCAUGGCCUACAGAAGAGGCGAGCUGAAUUUGCUAGAGAGUUCAUAGGAAAGUGGUAGGAAUCACUGAUGUCAGGAAAGGUUGAUGAUGAGGGAAAGAAAGGUAAGGAUGAUGGCCUCCUUUUCGGAUCUGCUCAACUGUCUAGAAGGCAGAAGGGAGCACUGAAGAAAGAGAAAUUAGCAGAGGAUUUUCUGAAGUGUUUCUAUGGCAUGAAGAGUUGAACUGAGACAUGUAAAAAAUGUAUUUGAAUAUACAGAUAUGGAAUUCAGAAAUGUCAAGAUUGGGGACAUGAGUUUGAAAGCAAAAGUAAGGAAUAUUUUUAAAAUUUAUUUCAGUGUUUUUCAAAGUGCUCUUUAGACUACUUAUGUCCGAAGGCCCUGCAUCUCUAUUUCUUAAGUCAGUGGUUUUCAGGCUUUCAUAUGCAUCAAAAUCAACAAAGUACAGGAUACUGAGGAAGAUGAAAGCUCUAGGUUCGAUCAGCUUUGGUUUGAAUUAGCUUAGACACUUUCUAGAAUAAAUUUGGGCAGCCUAGCCUCUGUGCCUCAGUUUUUUUCUCUAUAAAAUGGAAAUAAUAAUACCUCAUUGAGUUUCUUGAAGAUUAAAUUUAAAAAAUAAGAAAAUAAUUGAGUCAACCAAAUAAAUUGGAGUAUAAAUAAAACCUUUAGGACACUUAUGGGCAUUUAAUAAACAGCCAAAAAAUGUUAGGCUAGGCAUUAUUAUUUUCCAGAUAAUUUAUUAAAAUACUUAUUCAUGGGCCUCCAACUCAGGAUUUUCAUGUAAAUUUCAAGUUACAGGAUGCUGUGGGCAUUUUCAUGUGGAUUUGGCUGUGUUUUGGACUAGAGAUAGAGGACAAAUUAGAAUUCGGUGAUUCUGGACAUAAUAAUCCUGGACCCUGCCACAUUUAUUAAAUCACAUGUUUUUUGUUGUUACUGUUUUUCAGAGGCCAAUUAAUCUGCAUUUUUAAAUAAAGUCACCAAAUCUUAAUGAUGCUGAUCUAUAUCUAUGCUUGAAAGGGAUAAUACUAGACAAAAUCUUGUGAUACUCAUUGUGUCACCAUUGCAGUCAAUAUCCACCAUUGUGCAGUUCCAUUUCAUAGCGGCCAUUAGUUUGCAGCAAAGUGAUUUGCCAGCCUGCUAGAACACUGCAUGCCCAGUAUGAAUUUUUGACUAUUACUGACCAAUAGAACAUAAAUAGAAGUGAUGUUUGUCACUUCUGAGACAAUACUUCUAAAACACAGUCAUGUCUUUCCCACAUUCUGUUUCCCCCUCUGCUCACCAAUGCAGAGAACAAGCUCUAGGUGAUGCUCUAGCAAUAAGAUGAAAGAAAUCUAGGAUUGAAUUGAUAACAGUAAGUUCGUCUGUUGUUACAUGAAUGAGAAAAAAGAUAGCACAAACGAGGGAAACAACUUCUAAUAUAUUAGGGAAAUGUUGGAGAUUACUGCCUAUAGUAGUUGGUACCACACUAUUUACUCCUCUUCAACAGGAGACUUCUUCUCCAAGUCAGUAUUUAUCAGUAGCUGCUGGAAGAACAGUAUCAUUGGAGUAUUAGAAUUAAUGUGUCAGAUUCUUAUGAUGCAAAGAAUAAAAAGAUCUCUUGUUUGGUUCUUGGAACAUAAUUCUGUGUCUGCACAGUCCCAAUGUUUCAGUGUUUACUGGUUGCUUUUUGUUGUUGAUUUAUAGUUACUGCGAAAAAAAAAAAGUGUGCAGUUGCAGGAAAGUUUUACAUUUUCCUUAGUAAAAUUUUAAUGUAAAAUCCUGAACAUUGGUAGCUUUCUGUUUAGUAUCACUAUUCUUUCUUCUUAGCUCAGGAAACAUCUUGGUGGUUUUGUUCCCCCUGAAAGUCGGAGAUGGGUCUCUAUUAUGCAUCUCUUCAGGGAACCAAGCACGUGUUUUUUUUUAUAAAAUAAAAGAAUGUUGUUUGUAUCUGGAUCAUUCCUUAAAGUCAUAAAAAACAAAAACAUUGCCAAACAGUGUAAACAUCGAUACUCAUGAAUUAUUAUUCGUUAAAAAUGGUGGCUAAAUUUACAUAUAGAUUAAACUUAGAAUUUAUGAAAUGUGA